GAAGGCUGCGCACCAAACGACAGGAAGGAUAAAUACAAAGAUGAGCAGGAGAAGGCGGUGGAGGGAAGCGGCGCUGGUGAUGUAGGACAGAACCGUAGCCAGCCAACCAGCACCAACCCAGCGGCAAAGACACGAGCCAGGAAGAGGCUGAAUGUUGUGAGGGAGCAGAAGGACGGCCUGCCGAGCGUCCAGAGAGACGAUGGCAGGAAGAAGGAUGGAGGAAAACAAAGGUGGAGGAGAUACGAGGAGCCGUUGCAGGCUGGCUAAUAAUGAUGCUAAUGAGUUAGAUCAACAUAUCAUCAGGAUUCAUCUCUGGCCUCGGGUUCUGCAGAAUAAAUCAGUAGAAGAACUAAAACGUUCUUUAGUAUUUGCUUUUUCACUAAAUGGACCCAAACAGAAGCAGCAGAACCGACUUAAAGAGUUAAGGCCUCGACCCACCGACCGUCUGCAGACCUGAAGCAGCUUCUCAUUCAUCAUGAUCCUCACAAAUCACCAGAAUUUACUUUAUAGAAAACAACCACAAGCAAAAACACCUUUAAUCACAGUCUGAAUGCUCGAUAUCUACACUAGAGUUUAACUAGUCAACAUGAGGAUGUCCGAGUGCAAGUGAACGCAGCACAGACCCCCCCAUUGGGUUUGGCUGGUGAUGAGAGCGAACAGCAGCAGCUGAAGGUGGGGGGAUCAUAGGGCUGCUUAAAGGUCGGGCUUUAACAGGGCCAUUAGUGAGUUAAACACAGAUUAAACGAUGGAAGCCGAAAUAUUUCUAUGUGAACGUGUUGAGCAGCAGACUGCAGGAACCUGCAAAGCAUUCCUGAGGACAAGACAGAGAACGACUGAGGGAAGAUGGAGAAAAAAGAUUCAGGUGUAAGCAACUGCCUGAGAACAGAGAUGGCAAAAAAAUACAUCUUGUCCCCGAAGGACGGAGUGGAAAACAGGCUGAGCGAACAGGUGCUGGAUGGACAGAGAGGAGGGAGAGAAGGAGGAAAACAUGAAGACAGGAGGAAAAUGAGGAGAGGGAGAAUGUGAGCGAGGGAAGCAGCUGAGAAUGAGAAUGAGGCAGAUCAGCACCAUCAUCCAUGUUCACAUUAAGACCCAGAACCAGAACCAGAACCAGUCAGGACUGAUUCAUUGUGUUUUAGACUGGUUCAAAAACCAAACUAAACUCCUGCAUAAAUCAUCCUCACAUUAACCUUCAGCUUAACUCUUCUGUCGCCUCCAGUUUGUCUUUGGAUCCAAAUGAUCCGUGAAUCAUUUAUAAAACUUCAGUUUGAAAAAAUCUCAUUACUGUGAUGCAUCUGGAAGUCAUGUCCUCAAAGUGGGAAGCUCUUAAAAAUUAAUUAGAUUUCUUGUAGGUCGUGGCAUCUGGUUUGAUCUUUCUAUUGUUUUAUGUUCAGGUUUUAUAAAUGGGCAACAAACGGAGACAUUAACGUGUCCUCAUAAAGAGUCCGACCGUUCCGACAGCAUCAGGGAAUGUUUGGCUGAAACAGAAAAAGUUUUAAUCAUUUGAAAUGGCAACCAGCAGCUCUGGGUCUCAGGCUCAGGUGAUCGUUGUUUUGUAGAGGUUGAAGAAUUUUUAUGAAAAUAUGACAAAAACUACAAAAUGAACCCCAAGAAAUUGAGGAAGGGAUGAGAGCAGGCGAAAGAAUCCAGCAAGAAGUGACUGAAAAUGAGAGGCUUAGACAUUUGGGGAGGAUUAACAGGAGACCUGGCUGAUCAGAAAACGGGCUGCAGGUGUGAGAGGAGGAGAGAGAGAAGGUGGCACAGGGGGCGAGGGAGAGAACACAGAGGAACCGGAAAUAAAUGAAUACUGAAGAAUAACUGGACUGAAGAAACUUAUUGAAACUAAAGUAACAAAGAAUAACUAAGAAAUAAACAUAAUAGAAUCACUAAGGAAGAACUGAAGUGGAAACAAUGCAGAACAAAUAGAACAAACUAAGGAACACCAAAAAUGACAAACCCCUAAAC